UACGUAGGGUGCAAGCGUUGUCCGGAAUUAUUGGGCGUAAAGAGCUCGUAGGCGGUUUGUUGCGUCGGCUGUGAAAUCCCCGAGGCUCAACCUCGGGUCGUGCAGUCGAUACGAGCAAACUAGAGUGUUGCAGGGGAGACUGGAAUUCCUGGUGUAGCCGGUGAAAUGCGCAGAGUAUCAGGAGGAACACCGGUGGCGAAAGGCGGGGAUCUCCUGGGGC
rnacentral:rRNA from 1 species